UACGUAGGGGGCAAGCGUUGUCCGGAAUCAUUGGGCGUAAAGCGCGUGUAGGCGGUUCAGUAAGUCUGCUGUGAAAGUCCAGGGCUCAACCCUGGGAUGCCGGUGGAUACUGCUGGGCUAGAGUACGGAAGAGGCGAGUGGAAUUCCCGGUGUAGCGGUGAAAUGCGCAGAUAUCGGGAGGAACACCAAUUGCGAAGGCAGCCCCCUGGGUCAAGAUUGACGCUCAUGCACGAAAGCGUGGGGAGCAAACAGG
rnacentral:rRNA from 1 species